GCCUUCGGUGGCUCAGAUGGAUAGAGCGUCUGCCAUGUAAGCAGGAGGUCCCGGGUUCGAGUCCCGAUCAGGGCA
rnacentral:tRNA from 1 species